rnacentral:piRNA from 1 species
UGGAAACUUCAUUCAACAAAGAGUGCACCC